GAUGAACGCUGGCGGCGUGCCUAACACAUGCAAGUCGAACGGAGUUAAGACUUCGGUUUUAACUUAGUGGCGAACGGGUGAGUAACGCGUGAGGAACCUACCUUUCAGUGGGGGACAACAGUUGGAAACGACUGCUAAUACCGCAUAACACAUUCGAGGGGCAUCCCUUGAAUGUCAAAGAUUUAUUGCUGAAAGAUGGCCUCGCGUCUGAUUAGCUAGUUGGUGAGGUAACGGCUCACCAAGGCGACGAUCAGUAGCCGGCUUGAGAGAGUGAACGGCCACAUUGGGACUGAGACACGGCCCAAACUCCUACGGGAGGCAGCAGUGGGGGAUAUUGGACAAUGGGGGAAACCCUGAUCCAGCGACGCCGCGUGAGUGAAGAAGUAUUUCGGUAUGUAAAGCUCUAUCAGCAGGGAAGAAAAAUAACCAAAUUGACUGUACCUGACUAAGAAGCCCCGGCUAACUACGUG
rnacentral:rRNA from 1 species